UUUUAGGUGUUCUGGUGUUCUGAACCAUAGGCAUGAGUAGACAAGCAAGUUUUACCUCAUGUCACCUGGAUGGAUGUCUCCAAGAUUUGAUAUGGAUGGACCUUUUCUGUGUAAGAGCCCACAUUAUCAGGACUUUUAAUAUGGGUAGCCUGAAAAUCCAAUCAUCAUGGAGCCAUUUCCUAGGAAAUUGAAUGACAUUGUCAACAAUAGCUGCCAUGGAAACCUGGGAAUCGGAAGCUGUUGUUUGGAAAUAGCUUCUGGUUACUGACCCCUAGCCUGGUCUCCUUUGAAUAUCCGCCAUACUUCUGGCACCACUGAAACCGGUUUAUCCAUCCAGACCGUGGCUCA